ACACAGAAGAAAUUUUUACAUUUAAUAAUUUUAUUCUUUUUAAAAUAAACCUGAUGGUCAACUGAUGAUGAACAGGGAAACAACUGGAGAAGAUAAAGUGACUGUAAACAUAGGUGAAGUGGAUCCUAAAAAUGAGAAAGAGGCAAAUGGUUAUGAAAAUGAUGGUCAGAAUGAGGCUACAGAAGAAGAUGGUGACAUAUUUAUAGUGAUGGGUAAAGAUGUAGAUCAAGAUUUAGAAGGACCAGUCCCAACAGACAAAUUUAUACACCAUGAUGAAGAUGAUCCAGCAUAUUUUGACUAUCCUAAGACAAAAAUUGGGAGAUUGAGGUUUAGGAUAGGAUCUGUGAUGGAGAAUGUAUGGUUUCGUUUGUUUACUAUUAUGUUGAUUAUAGCAGACUUCAUCAUUGUUAUUGUGGAUAUGGCAUCAGGUCCCAAGACACAUUUCCAUGACGAACUAGAAAUUACAUCUAGAUGUAUUAUAACUUAUUUUGUGAUAGAAAUUUUCUUGAGGAUAUUUUAUAAAGGAAAGAGAUUUUUCCACUCCUGGGCAGAUGUACUCGAUAUGAUUAUUGUACUUGUUACCUUUAUAAUUGAUUGGGCCCUCAGUGACUACGGCAGACUUGGUGUUGCUGGAAGAUCAGUCAGAAUUAUACGUAUUGUUAGAAGUAUAUACAUCAUGUAUUCAGAUUUUAGACGGUUUAAGAAAGUAACGAGACGAAUUAUAUCACAAAACAAACGUAGAUAUGUUAAGGAAGGAUUUGAUCUAGAUCUUUGUUAUAUAACAGAGAGAGUUAUAGCAAUGUCAUUUCCAUCUUCUGGUGUUAGAGCUUUGUACAGAAAUCCCAUUGGGAAAGUUGGGAAGUUUUUAGACACAAAACAUCAAGAUCACUACAGAGUGUAUGAUCUCUGCAGUGAAUUAAACUACAGUGAGAAUAUAUUCCAUAAGAGAGUACGCAGAGUCUAUAUACAUGACCACAAUGUUCCUUUAUUAAGUGACAUGACAGAGUUUUGUAAAGAUGUUAGAAUGUGGUUAGCCGAAGAUGAACAAAAUGUGAUAGCUGUCCAUUGUAAAGGGGGCAAAGGUCGCACCGGAACAAUGAUCUGUACAUACCUUAUACAUACUGAACUAUUCCAGGCAGCUGAGGAUAGCCUUAAUUAUUUUGGUGAGAGACGAACAGACAGAAAAGUUGGGAAGACAUUCCAAGGUGUUGAAACUCCUAGUCAGAGUAGAUAUGUGGGAUACUAUGAGAAAGUGAAGUAUGAUCUGAAUGAGGAGAUGCCUCCUCCUAAAUAUCUUAAAAUAGAAUCGGUUAAAAUAACAUCUAUUAAAGGUGUAGGCAAUGGUGAUGGUUCAGAUUUAGCUAUGCAGAUAUUUUUAGGUUACUCUCCUGAGUAUUCACAAAUUGACUUCAAACAGCAGUCAGAUUGCAAGGUUGAGCACAAUAAAGAAGAAGAUUAUAUAUUGGUGACAUUCAAUGACAAACCAGUGGUCACAAAUGACGUCAAGAUCAGAUUUGUAUCGAAAGCUAGAAAUAUACCAAAGGUUUAUGAUAACUGUGCAUUUUAUUUCUGGUUCUACACUGCAUUUAUUGAAGACAACAGAUUAUUCCUAACCAGGGAUGAGAUAGAUAACCCUCACAAGAAGAAGGCACAGAAAGUGUUCCGAGAGACAUUUAGUAUUGAGAUGUUGUUUAGUGAUGCUGAUGGUUCAUAGCCUAACUGAUCAAAGUGGUAUGAUUGGGAACGACAGUGUCCUGGUGCUUACAGAUCAAGUUUUUUAGAUUUAUAUAUAAUAGAAUUAUGUAAUCUUAUGAAAAACAUGAUUAAAAUUUAAUUGAAAUCAUUUCAUUUAUAUUUUAUUUGAUAGAUUAUUACUUACAUUUUUUAGACAUAGGUUGAUCACAUGGAUUUUUAUUGCUUAUUGCUUCAUAACACAAUUUUACUGAAAUUUUAAACGCAAACUGUUUUGAUGCCAAAAAUGUACUAAAUAUUUUACUGCUUACAAUAUAUUUUCAAUCUUAUGCAUUGUUACAAUGAGAUGAUGAUUUCUUAUGCUCUGAUAUGUACAAAAGGUACAAGUAAUCCAACAAAAUAUCUUUUAUAUCAGGAUCAUUUUUCAUUAAUGAAUGGUGUUGAUAUAUCUUUCUUUAUUAUGAAAGUUAAAUAAAUAAAUAAAACAAUGAGGCAGACUUACCAUUUUUCCACCCCUGUCAUUGAAAGAGUGUGUGAAUUGUAUUUAUAUUCCAAAUAUAUAGCACCAACGUUAAACUUAAAAGAAAAAAAAUGGUUUGGUUCCAAAUGACUCAUGAAGUUUGUUCAACAAAAUGUUAUUGGAUGUAAGGCAUAAUUAAGUUGUAUAGAACUUAUAAAACAGCAGAAUUGAUACUAAUAAAUUAGUGUCUGAUUGGGAAUAAGUUGUUUAAAGGUUGGUGAUAAAUGUAUCUUAAAAAUGUAUGGAAUAAGUGAUAUGAGAAAGUACCACAUUCAGACAUAGUUACUACACAUUCCCACCUAUGCAAUAAUUAAAGGGCAUUUUGUAUGAAUUUUGUAUAAACAAUUUUUUAUAGUCUGGACAAAUACUUUAGAUAUAAUGUAUAUUUUAAUAUUAUCAGUUGCUCAGUAGCUAGAAAUAUUAUUCUCGUAUUAUUUUUGUAAUUGCUUCUUAUUGGUUGUAUUUUAAAGAAAAAAAUAAUUAAAUGGCUUUGAAAGAACUUUAAUGAUUAACUUAGUUCAAAGACAUUGUUUGUUGCCAAAUGUGAUUAUGAAUAUACUUGUAUUAAUUUUUGGCUGAUAAGCUUAGUUUUAAGAAAAUUUAGUUUCCUGUUUUCUAUCGUGCUAUAUAUAGAAUAACCAUACAUUGUCUCGAAUUAUAAAUUUUAUUUGUACAAGGCUUAGAAACAGGUAGAAAGCGAGGCUUUGCCAAGCAUUUCUAUCCUGUUGUGAGCAGAGUACAAAUACAAUUUAUAUUUCUAGACAAUGCUUUAUAUACUGCAACUCCUACAACUGUUCCAAAUGAAAUAUUUAUGGUAAAAAACAUCAUUUUUGAAUUUGGAGCGAACGAUGUAAAAAUUCUGCGAACCUGUACUUCUAAUGACGUCAUAAAUAAUAAUUCUACGGAAACGCAUUGUCAACGUCAUAAACAAUGCGAUAUGCGGUCAGUGACUGUAUAACACAAAUGAUUAUACGGUCAAUGCAAUUUGACUGCAAAUAACACAGCUGCAGUAUACAGUUGGCUAUUGAGAUGUGUACAGUACACUUGUCAACAUCAAACCAAUUAAAAACUUUAGAAGACAAGAAAAUAUUUUAACCCUUUUAACAUUAUUUUAUUUUCAUAUUCUUCAAGAAAAAAUAAUUUGUUAUGACUAUUGGUGUGUUUGUGAUGGGGAUGGGGGUAGGUUGAGGAUAUUGAUACAAUGUAGAUUUACUCUGAAAAGUUGAGGAUAUUUAUACAAUGUAGACUUACUCUGAAAAGUUGAGGAUAUUUAUACAAUGUAGAUUUACUCUGAAAAGUUGAGGAUAUUUAUACAAUGUAGACUUACUCUGAAAAGUUGAGGAUAUUUAUACAAUGUAGAUUUACUCUGAAAAGUUGAGGAUAUUUAUACAAUGUAGACUUACUCUGAAAAGUUGAGGAUAUUUAUACAAUGUAGAUUUACUCUGAAAAGUUGAGGAUAUUUAUACAAUGUAGAUUUACUCUGAAAAGUUGAGGAUAUUUAUACAAUGUAGACUUACUCUGAAAAGUUGAGGAUAUUUAUACAAUGUAGACUUACUCUGAAAAGUUGAGGAUAUUUAUACAAUGUAGACUUACUCUGAAAAGUUGAGGAUAUUUAUACAAUGUAGAUUUACUCUGAAAAGUUGAGGAUAUUUAUACAAUGUAGAUUUACUCUGAAAAGUUGAGAAUAAGAUGGGGUUUUGAUCACCUUCCCUUUUCAACCAAAAAAUGGAAAAAUCAUUUUUGAAACAAAACAUAUACAUAUACCAUGUAUUGGGUUUUAAAUUUCCAACAUUGCUUAUUUCAAACCAAUCUACACCUUUCCUCUAUGUGUUUUCUCCAUUUCUCUGCAAAUUGUAUGUAAAGUGUUCAUUUGAUUUAGUAAUUUCUCUAAUUUACAUAUUGGUCAAGACAAUAGUUAUAAUACCCAUACAAAGAAGUUAUAUAAUGUUAUUGGCCUAACUGUAAGUCUGUUUUUCCGUCAGUUUGUCUGUCUGUUCGUCCGUCAGUUUGUCUGUCUGUUCUUCUGUCAGUUUGUCUGUCUGUUCGUCCAUAAUGACUUUGUUAACCCAUUUUAUUUUGUCUUUGCUGCAUUACAGAUAUUGAAAGAUUUAGUUAUGGACCUAGGCUGAACAUUCAAAACUUUUUUAACGAUUUUAUUUUGAACUUGGAUGUGGGUAUGUACUAGAAAUUGUCUGUCUAUCCCCUGGUUUUGUUUGACCCAUAUUGCUCAAUAGUUUACUGUGUAAUGUUAAGUGGCAUGUUGUAUGUGCUUGUCUAUUUUAGCCGUUGUGUUGUCUUUCUUCCAUUAAUUAUUGUUUAUUGAAAGUUCACCUGGUGCUCUAGGUUAGUCCUAUAAUAAAAUUAACUUACCUUCCCUCUCCCCUUGAAACACAAAUAAACAACAAUUUUUACCUGAAACAUAUGCAAUAUACCUUUAAUCAUUGUUUUUUUUUUUCAACAUAUAAAUGUUUUGUAUAGAACAAGGUUGUAAAAUAGGUUGUAUAAUAUAACUUUUAUAAUUUUUCUAGUCAGGAAAAGUGCCUUGUUGUUUGUUAAUAUUUUUACUAGUUUAUAAAUAUUGUAUACUGAUGUAUAAUGUAUUUUUAUAUGUUAUAAAGAUGUCUUUUAUUCUGGAAAUAUUUUGCUACUCUUUUAAUAAGUAAUCUCUCUCUUUACCGUAGAAAGGCUUGUAUAGUCCGCGGUUUUAUUUUCCAAAAUUGGACCUUCCAGAUGGGGUGCGGACUAUAGAGUACAAUAAGCAAGAAAUAAGAGAAAAAUUUCAAUUUCGCGGGCGAGGUGGUUUGUUUACGUUCCGCCAUCUUUGUUAUUUAUAUUGUAGAGGGCGCUCUUAUCAUUUUUCAAACUAAUAAUUUUAACUCAUCCAUAUUAAUAAGUUAUUUCUAUUCAAUAUCAAAUAGAUAAAUAUAAAAACUAAACCUUUCAUUACAAAUUUCUCGUUUCUUUUCAAUGCAUUGGUUAUAGUAAACUGGUAUCUGCUUGAUUGAAACGAUACAAACAUAGUGAAAAAGACAACCGUAAACCAGCUUAGAAUUUGUAAACUACAAAACGUAAUCGGUUAUUGUUCGUUCCGUUUUGGUGUUUCAUACUGACUAAUAUGGUUUGUAUUAGCUUAAGACCCUUCAAACAUUAAUGUGAUAGAUAUAUUAAAGACUGUUUUACAAAAGGAUGGAACUGUUUUACUUUCAAAGUCGUAUUAUAGUGAUAUCUGUUAUGUACGGAUUUCGACUCUCACCUGUUAGUUUCUUCUUUUACACGUGCUUUUUAAACUUCCUGUUUAAACAUACACAAGUUUCUAAAUUGUUUUUUAAGUGAAUUAAACUUAAUUUAACAAUCAUGAAGCGUUCUAGAAUCAUUUACAAGCAGUGUCGGCUUCUGUUUGAAGAUGGAAAACAGGUUUUCUAAGAAAAUACCACAAACGACCGCACAGGAUUUGAAAUUACCGGAGUUUCAUUAGACCUUUUCUAACAGUUACAAAAAGUUUUUUUACCUAAAAUUUCGUGGGGAGAAGGGGGUGCGGACUAUGUACCAGUGCGAACUAUACAAGCCUUUCUAUGGUAUAUAUAAAAAACUCCACAAUUGAAUAUAAUAAAAUCAAUUUAUUAUUUGGCUGCAAGUUUUGGUGAAUUUUGUGAUAAAACAAAAUAACUAUUUCGAUAUAAAAAAAAAUACUUCUUUUAUGUUGAUAACUUGUUUAAUAUCAAACCGCAAAUUAAAAACAACACUGAUUUUUCUACAAACCAUGAAAAGGUGGAAAUUGAAGUUAUGAAUAAAAGUGUUGCACAGAAUCACUGAAAGUAAAAGUACUCCAUAUUUUUAGUGAACAGCAUAUACAUUAUUGGUUUGUAUAUUUGGAAAAACAAACCCAGUUUUAUUUUGGUCCUAUCUGUAAUAUCUAUCAAAACAAACCAGUCUUUUUUUAAUAUAAACUUGUUUAUCAGAGAAUUAACCAGAACGUGGCAUGUUAAUGAUAUGUUUUCCAUUCCAUUGUCAAAGAAUAUAUAAUUUCAAAUUGAAACUGAAUGAUUAAUUCAAAUAACUGUCAUCAAAUACUAAAUACUGUAUUUUGAAAAUUUUGGCAAGAAAAACUUAAGCCUCGAACCAACACAGCACAAAUUUCACGGUACCCAGUAAAAAUAUUAAAAGAGUUAAUCUGCACUUUUUAAGACAGUUUUUGUUUGAAAUACUUAUUAUUUACAAGACAUUUUUACCAUAGUUUUUUUCUAUAUUGCUCUAGUGUCCAGAUUAAACUUAUAAUUAUAAUAAUAAUAUUGUUUUGGAUGAACUUUUCAAUAGGUUCUUCUGUAUAUACAGGAAUUUUGGUUUUAGAUUCAGAUGAUAUUUUAUGUUGCAGUUAACUGUAAAUUUUAGUCAUGAUCUUGACCUUAAUUUCAUGCUCCAGUGGAUAUGUAGAUUUUUUUAGGAUUAGUUCAUUUCCACAGUUGCUAUGUGUGACAGGUCAACAAUAUUUUUUUUGUAUGUGAUACUGACAUUCUAUAUGACAUAAAGGUGAUAUUUUGACCUGUAUGUAAAACCUUUUCUCUAAUUCUUAACCGAUUUAUCCUUUUUCUGACCUGUUGAUUAUUUUUAUUUAAUCAACGUGUGGUUUGAUUGAUAUCAGUUUUUCAUUUGUCAAAAUUCAAUUAUGACAUCAACUCGUCUUGCUUUCCUCUGAAUUUCUAAUUGUGACAUCACGAAAAAAGGUGACCAUACCUGGUGAUGUAACAUAGAAAGAACACAUCUUUUUGCAGAUCAUUGGAAAAGAAGGAUUAAGUUUGUCUGCAUAUCGCCUAAAAAUCAUUAGAGAAACAGAUUCUACCAUCAAAUCUCAUGCAAUACGAUAUAUCUCCACUCUCGACAGUUAAAUUUUAAAUAUUUAAAAUGCUCGGCAAGCCUUGUGUUUUGAAUUUGAAAAUUUAACUGUUUCUAGUGGAUAAAUGUCGUAUCACACUCGAUGCAGUGGUAGAAUCUAUAUUUAACAUUCACAAUGUUUUUACAAUAUUUAUACUGUUUCCAGUUAUUUUUAUGAAUAAGCAAAACAAUUUAGUGUGUUAACCUUGUCACAUUCUUGCUUUAUAAAUCGUUUCUACCGGUAUAUUUAUUUGUCUCUGUUCGUGUUUUGGAUUGUUUAGUUGUGAUGAUAAUUAAUUCUGAUGAAAUUCAGAGAUUCAUAAUUGAAAAUUGUCAUUGUCUAUAAAUAAUGCUCAAUAAAUAUUUAUAUGUGAUAAAAUGACAUAAAAGGGUACAUUUUAUUUUUUCUUUAAUGUAAUUGUAAAAAGGUCUGAAAAUAAUAAAAGAUAUUAUUUUAAGGAACAACGAUUUGUACGAUGUGAAGACUUAUAAAUUUGCAUCUUUAUUCUUAUUUUAAAUAAUGCUCAGUCACUUAGGGUAUGUUUAAAGAAUGUUUAUCAGAUGAACCCUGACCUACUUGUAAGAUUGCUGCCCCAAGUAUUGAUUUUAUAUAAUGAUUUAACAAUUUUUGCCAGUGCUGGAUUUUGAAAAUUUUAUCUACAUUCAAUUUUCAAUGCAUUAUUUCUUUGUAUAAAAAUAUAUUAUGUUCAAGGUUCUCAAAUUUUAUGAUCAUAUCUUAUAUAUUCAUUCCACUGGUUGUUGAAUGUGGUUUUGUAAUUUAUAUGUAGUGACUUCAUUAUAUUUAAUAACAUAUAUUGAUGAUAUAACCUGUUAUAACCUUGUUAUAUUCAUAAAAACAUUGCAUGGAGAUUCGUUAUUCUCAACACUGGCCAUAGGUACCAGGCGAGUGAUACCUGUGCUUUUGAACCUCUAGUUACAAAAUGUUUUAAUUAUUAUUAAAGUCUACCUCAAUCACAGUGAUUCUGGAAUGGUUGUGAUAUUUUAUUUUUUUAAGUGAAGGUUUGUUUUAGUGUACAAAUUUUAUGUAAUUUUCUUACCUAUUUUAGUUUUAUUAUUAUAUUUAUAAAUAUAUUCCUGACUUUUAAUACGAUAUAAAU